GCCGCGCCUCUCUUGUCUCUCCCUUACGAUACGAUCACGAGUUCGUCCGCCGUCAAGUUCCACCACCGCGCGGCCGUCGGGACCCGCCGCGAUGACCGGCGAACACUGCGUGCCGCGACCACCCCACUCUCUCUCUCUCUCUCUCUCUCUCUCAUGUCUAGUCACCGGCAAGCACAUCUCCACGAUUCUAGGGCCCUCAAGAGCUUCGACGCUAAGGACGACGGCGAAUCACGACGGUCUCUUCCCCAUAUCUUCUGUCCGGAUCGGCCUCCACGAGCAUUGACGGCGGCGAUUCAUGCCUCCGGGCCCUCCAAAAGCUUGGACGCAGCGACGCGGUGGCGGUGCGGGACUCUCUCUCUCCCAGAUUGAAUCGGAUCGAACGUUGGACGACAAAAACAACGUGUCGAAGGAUUUGUGUUGGUGAUGAUUCAGGGUAUGAGUCUCAAACUAGAGUUCGUUUGGUGAAUUUUGGAUGUUAUGAGCUGAAAGAAUGGUGGGAUGGAUGGGAAUUUCUGACUGUGGUUGAUACUUGAUGUUGAUGACUGGUUGUCCUUGGGCUGAGCUGAGUUAUUAUUGUGCAAAUUUUACUUACUUCAAUUUGUUGUUUCAGAAACGGACUCAAACUCUUCAAAAUGAGAGCGUGCUAUGCCAACUUCUGCAAGCCGAGCGUCUCCUCCCCCACCAAGUGAUGUUAUUGAAGCUUCUCCUUCACCCAAGCCACCACUUCCUCCAUCAAGGCCUAGUGGAAGUAACGCUAUUAGCAGAAUCAGUCUAGUGUUAGGGCUCAUUGUCACUGUGGCCUGGCCCGUAUAGUGUGAAGAUAGCAUGAACUUGAAAUUCAUACUACUUUGGAGAUUAAUGUGACAUGAUGGGUUUAAUUGAUGAAUUUCAAAUGGUUAUCCCAGAUUUUUCUAUAGUUUGUGUAAUUUUUAGGAUCUUGAGAUCGACGAUCCAAUCCUUUGGACGGUUUCAUCGAUCUUAAGUAGGAUGCCAAUCCUAACAAACUUUCUCAUUCCGGUGGAAAAUCUUUAUUAAGAAGAUGGGAGGUGCCGGAGGAUGUUAAGAAGAGAAAAUUAGCCUUCUCCAAAGACGAACAUAGGAAUCCACAAAGAAAAACAGAGAAAACGUUUGGUGUGAGAUUGGUGGAAUUGAGACAGUGUUUCUAUGUUUGAACUUCAUUUGCUUGUUUUGAUGUUGAUAUGUAUCUAAUUGUGCAAAACUAUGUUAAAACUUCACAAAUUGGCCUCAGUUUGUUAAAUUUGUAGGUUCUUAUGAUCCUCAAUACAUUCCUCGAAGACCUGACAUUCAUCCUACAUAGGACUCCAAUUCUGACAGUUGUUUAAAAAUGCUGCGGUUAUUGGAAUAACUGAAAUGAAGUUAACGUUAAGAUAGAAAUAGUUAUUAUAAGGUAUGCAUUUCAUCUAUAUCAAAUAUAUCCCUGCACUUGUAUCCAAUGUUGGACACUCAUUCCCUGAGACCUGUUGUUUGUGAUUUGGAAACUUUGAAAACUCAGAAACUAUGACAAGUGACCCUCGUUUGGCACCCGUAUCAGAGAGGCUGUGCUUUGUAAUAAAAAUGUAGUGUUCUAAUGAUUGCCAGUGUGAAAUUUGUAAGCGGUCUGGUUUUGAGCGUCAAUAAUGAUAAGAUACUCUCUUAUGGACUGCACACAAAGGUAUAUUCUGUCAUUAGUAUUUAUUUAUCAUCUUAGUCAAACACCAGAAAGGAUACGAUAUCACAAUGUACCGUCUCACAUCUUGUGAUUGAGGAGAUGAGGUAGGGUAAGAGCGAUUCCUCAGAUUUCUUAUCCUUUCAUAAACUAUUCCAAAAUGCAGGUGAGCAGAUGUAGUCUCUCAAUGAUGGCCAUCCGUCAAGGCAAAAGAAUCUACUGGUCAAGAUAGAUCUUACUGUCUAAGGAUUGUCUCAGUGAAAUAAUCAGAGGACUGCCUAUUCCUUUCUUGACUAGUUUUCUUAAGUUUGCUUGAGAUGGGAGAACAAGAGGAAGAUUAAGUAGGCACACCACAUGCGAAGCAACAAGCUCCUCUUUGUCAUGAGUUUGAAAAGAACACAUCAGAAUACAAGUGCCCUGCAUGUUUUCUCCGCUCAUAUAUGCUUCCUUGUGUAAAUGCUCAUAAAUGCCGUACUGGCUGCACUGGCAAGAGGAGUCAGACUCAGUUCACAUUCCUCUCUCUCAAUUUAAUGACAAUGUUCUCCUUUCUGGUAGACUCUAUCUCUCUCUCUCUCUCUCUCCGUGUCAUGUCUAAAUUAUAGCUCUGUUGCUGUCUUGCAAGUAUGAUUAUUUAGGCAUAGAUUUCUGCUGGUAAUUCCCUGCCUUAUCUGAAUGGUUUCUUUUCUUUAGAAAGUUAGCUUAAGCCUAAAGCUUACUUCUGUUUUCCUGUUCACUUUUUAAGAAAUCUCAUUUAUUCUGAGUUUUAUAUAUUCGUAAUUCUUUGAAAUUCAUGAUGAACAUAUACUAUAAUUUGCUUGAGGAAGUGAAGAGGGUCACUGAAUCUGCUCACAGAGGGAGAGCUAAAUUAAGGGUGUAUCCUUAUCUUAAGUUACCCUUUCACCUCGAAAAUCUCCGGCUUGCAGCUGCUAGCAGGAUGUCAAAAUUCUUGUCCCUUCCAAGUGGACUGUCGAACAGGGGCAGAAAUCAGUCUCGGCAUGAGAAUGGCAUGUGAGAUCAGAGUCUUGACCUUUGAGUGGAUUAUAUCCGCAAUGCUAUCGAUUUUGUAAAGACGAUAUGAGCUGAUUCUUGUGGUAGGCUUUCUUUGCACCAUAUAAAUGACAUGAAUACAUUUGAACUCGAGAAAAUUGGCUAUAUUUCAGAAAAAAAAAAAGGCCAUCCAGAAACCGAUGACUUGUGUAGAAAGAGGUUUGAUGUGGUUUUUGUUUUUGGUCAAUUGACGUGGGCUUAUAUGUAUUAAUAUUAGCUAAUUAUUUCAUUCCCGAUAUUUCACUUACUUAUAACAUGGCAAAAUUAAUUUUCUAGUCAUGUGCGUGUACUAAAAUGUAGAUGACUAUUGAAUGUGGUUGGUCAUAUUGUAAAUACGAUGGUUCUCAGCAGAUCUGAUGAUACAUAUAUUUUUAUGUAUGCACCGCACUCAUCUUAUAAUAUGUCUGGCAAGAAGGCAAAGGGUGCAAUUUGCAUAAUUUUUGGCUCAAAUAGUAGCUGCAUGAAUCAAAGCGACCCUAGAGUGGACCCUCCAUCACUUUACCCCUUUUGUUGAAAAUAGCCCAAUGAUAUGGAAUAUUCAUGUAGCGUGUGCUUUUGAGUCAUCAACCGAAUAUUAAUGUGUGGACAUUUGUUACGGCGCCGUAACAAAGUUGGAUGUGUGGGAAAAUUCUCUUGUUACGCGUGCUUAUAUCCCACCUUUUAGUCAUUCAUGUGAUCAUGUCCUGAGCCAGGUUAAGACAACAUUGUGAACAUCAUCCUGGCAAUUGCACUUGCAAACAGCUAAAGAAAAUGGCUCAAAGAAAAGAAAGGAUAGGGUAUCCCAAUGCAAGCCGACUCACAUCUUGUGAUUGACGAGAUGAGGUGGGGGGCUGAGAGAUUCCUUGGCCCGUUAUAAAAGGUUCUGAAAUGCAGGUGAGUAGAUCUAGUCUCUCAAUUAUGGCCAUUUGUCAAGGCCCAAGAAUCCACUGGUCAAGAUAACUCUUUAUCAAUCACACACCUCUAUUUCCCAUAUGAUCUAAUUCUUGCUUUCCAAGGAAUGUCUUAGUGAAAUAAUCGGAGGACCACCUAUUCCUCGACUAGGUUUUAUUGUUCUCUUUAAUUCAAAUCAUCAUACAUCACAUUGUCCAUUCUUCUUGCUAUCCCAUCAUCCUUAAGUAUUCCAAACACGAUUCUUUUCAGAUCUCUCAAAUUUGCUUGAGAUGGAAGAACACGAGUAAGAAAAUGUAAGCACAUGACAUGAGAAGUAACAAGAUCUUUUAUGUCGAGAGUUUGGAUAGAACCCAUCAUAAUACAAGUGUCUUGCAUGUUCUUUUCACUUGUGUAGCCUUCCGUGCAUAAAAUGCUCAUAAACACCAUACUAGUUGCAUUGGCAAGAGGAAUCAGAUUCACUUCAUUCCUCUCUCUCUCUACAAUGCAUGCGUGUGCAUGUUAAGAUUUUAGCUUUGUUGCUCGAAGAAUUAGCUUAAGCCUAAAGCUUACUUCUGCUCUCAUGUUCACUCUUUAAGAAAUCUUUCAUUCAUUCUUAAGUUUUAUAUAUUCAUAAUUUUUUGGAAUUCAUGAUGGACAUAGACUAUAAUUUGCUCGAGGAAGUGAUUAGGGUCAAUGACUCUGCUCACAGAAUGGAAGUUAAAUUAAAUUUGUAUCCUUAUUUCGACUUACCCUUUCACCUCCAAAGCCUUUGGCGUGCAGCUUCUAGCAGGAGAACAAAACUCUUUUUCCUUCUAAGUAGACUUUCGAAAAGGGGCGGAAAUCAGUCUCGAUAUGAGCAAAGUGGCCAUCCAUGAGGAUGAAUGCCAUGCAUGCUUGUUCAUGAUAUCGCUACGUGGAGGCCAUGCAAAGGGCGGCGGGACUAUAUGAGUGGAUCCGGGGCUCGCCGCCGUAUGCGUCGCGGAGCCAUUCGCCUAUGAAUACGAGCAGAUCGUCAUCCUCAACGACUGGUACAACAAAAGCACUAAUGACCAAGCCUUCUAUUGGGAUGGAGAGCCUGCGUCACUACAAAUUCAAGGGAAGGGAAAGUUCGACAGCUCCAAAUCGCCCCUCCAAUCUUGGAUACAACCGCUCAUAAGGUGACCGAUCCUGCAUAUAUGAAAUGGACAGUCAUCCCCGGAAAACAUAUCGCUUCACGAUUUCGAGUGUGGCCAUUCUAUAUGCUCUCAGCUUUCAAAUCGAGGAGAACUUCCAUCUCCAACAAAUUAUUCCUCUUGCUUUUUUUCUUCCUGGCUUUCUACAAUGAUUUCGAAGUUUAAAAAAGAAGACUCUUCACUAUUGUCAUUUCAUAUUGGAUUACACACGAUAUCAAGUAUUGGGGGAGAUGAUAUGCUUCGGGUUUUUCUGAAGGAGAAAGAGAACUCGACUUUUUUGAUUUACUAGUGAUGAUUUGGUGUGCCCAUUCUCUGACUCAGAUUAGA